GACGGUUCGUCGCAACCGCCUUAACCCACCUACGCUACGGGUCUGAUUUGUUACGUGUAACUUUGAUAAUAAUGUACACAUUUUCUAUAAUUUUCAGACCGCUUCAUGGAUUUCGUGUUGUUCCUGGUUGUUUCUAUUUAUCAUCCAAGUAAUCAAGACAGUAAUAAAAUCACGAUCUGGAAACAGACCAACAAAUAGACAGCAACGUGUGCCAGAGGGGCAGAAGUUCGAAAUAAUUAGUUAAAAUUGAGGCGUACUGUACGUUAAAAAGCUAAUGCCACAUUUUUUUUUGUCAAAUAAUUUGAACAUUUAGGCAGUUGGAUAUUUAGCUGGUGGUAGAAAAGCCAAUUCGUUUGGAUUUCAAUGAUGAUUAGUGAUGGCGAGUAGUGGCGCAAGUUGGGGAACCGUCAGACAGGACAGGCCCCUUUCGUCCGAGGCACAACUAGGUCGUCGAAUAAAAACCAAUAAUAACAAUAAUAAUAAUAAUAAUAAUAAUAAUAAUAAUAAUAAUAAUAAUAAUAAUAAUAAUAAGGAUGAUAAUGAUGAUAAUUUUCCUAUCAAAAUAACGUUUAUUUUGAUGCCAAUUCCAAAUAAUGUAGUCUAAAAGCAUAUUUUGGACAAUACUAAGCCAUUAAAAAACUCACCCCGUGAACCUACACGGGAGUUUUUAUUUCGGGCCGUCGACCGAGGUUUCGUCGGGCCCCUGCCUUGGACCCCUCCGUCUAACAUUUCGGACCCUUGUCGGCAAAAAUCUGGCGCCACCGCUGGUGUGAGAUAAAGCUGUACAGUUUUGUUGAGUUUAAAUAUUUGGAAAUAUCAAUUGCAACAAGGUUAUUGUGAAUUUUGUAGAACAUUGCAAAUCACUGAUUUUAGUAUAAAAAUUAGGCCUAACUUAUAAGAUGUCACUGGAAGUGGGGUAGCAUAGCCAAUAAUUGAGGGAGGGGGGAGGUUUGUUAGAAAUUACAGAUUGCAAACCGUUGAUGAUAAUUCGAAAACUAAUAAGGAUCACCUCUAUUUCGAUGUUCCCUCAAAUUAUGGUGAAUUCAAAUGUGAUGUAUCAAAGAUCGCUCUCUAAGCAAAUUGUGAUAGCCUGCCCUCAUGCUUACUUUUUUGUUAGUAUAGUAUCUCAUCUUACCUUUUUGUAUAGUAUCUAUCCUCCUGCCAACGGUUGUAUUUUAUUAAAAUGCAUUUGCUUUCUGCUGGCUGUAACAAAUCUAAAUAAUUAGUGAAUGAAUGUAGGCUUAAAUAAUCGUUUAAAAUUUACAAAAGCUGUAUAAUAAUUUUAUAUACAUUUUUAAAUAAUGCAUUGAGUACAUUUGAUGAGACAAUUAACUACUGUAUAAUCAUGUAAGCUGUAUGUUUUAUGUUAUGUAAGCUGUAUGUUUUAUGUUCAUUAUUACCAUUAAUUUAUAUAUUUAUUAAAGCAUGAUAGACAGGAUAACAUAUAAA